AACGAACGCUGGCGGCAUGCCUAACACAUGCAAGUCGAACGAGACCUUCGGGUCUAGUGGCGCACGGGUGCGUAACGCGUGGGAACCUUCCCUUAGGUUCGGAAUACCUCCCCGAAAGGGGUGCUAAUACGGGAUAAUGUCUUCGGACCAAAGAUUUUUCGCCUUUGGAUGGGCCCGCGUUGGAUUAGCUAUUUGGUAGGGUAAAAGCUUACCAAGGGGACGAUCCAUAGCUGGUCUGAGAGGAUGAUCCGCAACACUGGGACUGAGACACGGCCCAGACUCCUACGGGAGGCAGCAGUGGGGAAUAGUGGACAAUGGGCGGAAGCAUGAUCCAGCAAUGACGCGUGAGUGAUGAAGGCAUUAGAGUUGUAAAGCUCUUUUACCCGGGAUGAUAAUGACAGUACCGGGAGAAUAAGCUCCGGCUAACUACGUG
rnacentral:rRNA from 1 species